UACAGAGGGUGCAAGCGUUGCUCGGAUUUACUGGGCGUAAAGCGUACGCAGACGGCUUCAAAGGUCGGGUGUGAAAGCCCGGGGCUCAACCCCGGAAUUGCAUCCGAAACCGUGAGGCUCGAGUAUGGGAGAGGGAAGUGGAAUUCCUGGUGUAGAGGUGAAAUUCGUAGAUAUCAGGAGGAACACCUGUGGCGAAGGCGGCUUCCUGGCCCAUUACUGACGUUCAGGUACGAAAGCGUGGGUAGCAAACAGGAUUAGAUACCCUGGUAGUCCACGCUGUAAACGAUGUGUGCUGGAUGUCGGGGGUAUUCACCCCCUCGGUAUCGAAGCUAACGCGAUAAGCACACCGCCUGGGGAGUACGGCCGCAAGGUUG
rnacentral:rRNA from 1 species